rnacentral:rRNA from 1 species
AUUGAACGCUGGCGGCAUGCCUUACACAUGCAAGUCGAACGGUAACGGGCCUUCGGGUGCCGACGAGUGGCGAACGGGUGAGUAAUACAUCGGAACGUGCCCGAUCGUGGGGGAUAACGAGGCGAAAGCUUUGCUAAUACCGCAUACGAUCUACGGAUGAAAGCAGGGGACCGCAAGGCCUUGCGCGGACGGAGCGGCCAAUGGCAGAUUAGGUAGUUGGUGGGAUAAAAGCUUACCAAGCCGACGAUCUGUAGCUGGUCUGAGAGGAUGAUCAGCCACACUGGGACUGAGACACGGCCCAGACUCCUACGGGAGGCAGCAGUGGGGAAUUUUGGACAAUGGGCGCAGGCCUGAUCCAGCCACGCCGCGUGCAGGAUGAAGGCCUUCGGGUUGUAAACUGCUUUUGUACGGAACGAAAAGCCUUCUUUUAAUACAGGAGGGUCAUGACGGUACCGUAAGAAUAAGCACCGGCUAACUACGUG